CGACCGGCGCACGGGUGAGUAACACGUAUGCAACCUGGCCGUGACAGAUGGAUAACCGGGAGAAAUCCCGCCUAAUACAACAUAAUGCCGGGAGGGGACAUCCCCUGCCGGUCAAAGGGGGCGACCCCGGUCAUGGAUGGGCAUGCGGCGCAUUAGGUAGUUGGUGGGGCAACGGCCCACCAAGCCGACGAUGCGUAGGGGUUCUGAGAGGAGGGUCCCCCACAUUGGAACUGAGACACGGUCCAAACUCCUACGGAAGGCAGCAG
rnacentral:rRNA from 1 species